rnacentral:rRNA from 1 species
GAUGAACGCUGGCGGCGUGCCUAAUACAUGCAAGUCGAGCGAACAGACGAGGAGCUUGCUCCUCUGACGUUAGCGGCGGACGGGUGAGUAACACGUGGAUAACCUACCUAUAAGACUGGGAUAACUUCGGGAAACCGGAGCUAAUACCGCAUAAUAUAUUGAACCGCAUGGUUCAAUAGUGAAAGACGGUUUUGCUGUCACUUAUAGAUGGAUCCGCGCCGCAUUAGCUAGUUGGUAAGGUAACGGCUUACCAAGGCGACGAUGCGUAGCCGACCUGAGAGGGUGAUCAGCCACACUGGAACUGAGACACGGUCCAGACUCCUACGGGAGGCAGCAGUAGGGAAUCUUCCGCAAUGGGCGAAAGCCUGACGGAGCAACGCCGCGUGAGUGAUGAAGGUCUUCGGAUCGUAAAACUCUGUUAUUAGGAAAGAACAAAUGUGGAAGUAACUAUGCACGUCUUGACGGUACCCAAUGAGAAAGCCACGGCUAACUACGUG